AGCUUUACGCGGUGGCAGCAUUGUAGCCAAUGAGGUUUAUCCGAGGAGCGAUUAUUGCUAUUGUUUAAUUAUAAUUGAUAUAUAUAAUGAUUACAUUUGAUUUGUAAGAAGAUUUUAGUAAUCUAUACUAUGUAACAG